GGAGCGUAAACUCCUUUUGUUAGGGAAGAAUAAUGACGGUACCUAACGAAUAAGCACCGGCUAACUCCGUGCCAGCAGCCGCGGUAAUACGGAGGGUGCAAGCGUUACUCGGAAUCACUGGGCGUAAAGGACGCGUAGGCGGAUUAUCAAGUCUCUUGUGAAAUCUAACGGCUUAACCGUUAAACUGCUUGGGAAACUGAUAAUCUAGAGUAAGGGAGAGGCAGAUGGAAUUCUUGGUGUAGGGGUAAAAUCCGUAGAUAUCAAGAAGAAUACCUAUUGCGAAGGCGAUCUGCUGGAACUUAACUGACGCUAAUGCGUGAAAGCGUGGGGAGCAAACAGGAUUAGAUACCCUGGUAGUCCACGCCCUAAACGAUGUAUACCGGUUGUUGCUGUGCUAGUCACGGCAGUAAUCCACCUAACGGAUUAAGUAUACCGCCUGGGGAGUACGGUCGCAAGAUUAAAACUCAAAGGAAUAGACGGGGACCCGCACAAGCGGUGGAGCAUGUGGUUUAAUUCGAAGAUACGCGAAGAACCUUACCCGGACUUGAUAUCUAACAAAUCAUCCAGAGAUGGAAGAGUGUCUGCUUGCAGAAAUGUUAAGACAGGUGCUGCACGGCUGUCGUCAGCUCGUGUCGUGAGAUGUUGGGUUAAGUCCCGCAACGAGCGCAACCCACGUCAUUAGUUGCUAACGGUUCGGCCGAGCACUCUAAUGAGACUGCCUUCGUAAGGAGGAGGAAGGUGUGGACGACGUCAAGUCAUCAUGGCCCUUAUGUCC
rnacentral:rRNA from 1 species